CAAGCAAAGAAGCGUGCAUGGUGGAUGCUUAGGCGUCGAAAGCCGACGAAAGACGUGGAAUAGCUGCGAUAAGCCUCGGGAAGCCGCUAAUCAGGCUUUGAUCCGGGGAUCUCUUACAUGCGGAAACGCUCCAAGGGUAACGCCUUGGAAGCCCAUGGUGAAUCCAUAGCCAUGUGGCGGGGAACGAGGGGAAUUGAAACAUCUUAGUACCCUCAGGAAAGGAAAGAAAAAUCGACUCCCUCAGUAGCGGCGAGCGAACGGGGAAUAGCCCAAACCGGUGGCGUGUCAAGGUUGUGGCCGUUGCGUCAUCGGUGUUGUGGGACCUUCAGGUAAUGCCACAGAAUUGCCAAGAAGUUACAAAUCCUUUCUCUAGCAGAAGGUUCUGGAAAGGACCGCCGUAGAGAGUGACAGCCUCGUAAGCGAAAGAGAUUGGACUUCUGAAGUGUUCCCAAGUAGCGUCAGACACGGGAAACCUGGCGUGAAUCCGGGGGGACCACCCCCCAAGGCUAAGUACUUCCGACGACCGAUAGCGACUAGUAGCGUGAGCGAAAAGUGAAAAGUUCCCCUGUGAGGGGAGUGAAAAGUACCUGAAACCAUGUACGUACAAGCGGUAGGAGGCCUAUGCCCUUCGGGGAAUGGCUGACUGCGUGCCUUUUGCAUAAUGAUCCGACGAGUUACGGUGCCGGGCGAGGUUAAGUGCCUCCGGUGCGAAGCCGAAGCGAAAGCGAGUGCGAACAGCGCGUAAAGUCAGGUGCCGUAGACCCGAAAGCAGGUGAUCUAACCAUGGGCAGGGUGAAGCGAAUGUAACAGUUCGUGGAGGCCCGAACCGGUGUAGGUUGAAAACUACUCGGAUGACUUGUGGUUAGGAGUAAAAAGCUAAUCGAACCUGCAGAUAGCUGGUUCUCCCUGAAAUAGCUUUCGGGCUAGCGUAGGGUUAAUUAGCGCAUGGGGGUAGAGAGACUGAAUGCGACUGGGGGGCCACCAGCCUACCCACCGCAACCAAACUCCGAAUACCAUGCGUGGUACCCCUGCAGUCAGACAGUGGGCGAUAAGGUUCAUUGUCGAGAGGGAAACAGCCCAGACCGCCAGCUAAGGUCCCCAAGAUGGACUAAGUGUUGCAAAGGAACUGGGAUUGCAAAGACAGCCAGGAUGUUGGCUUAGAAGCAGCCAUCAUUUAAAGAGUGCGUAAUAGCUCACUGGUCGAGCAGUCCUGGGCCGAUAAUGAACGGGACUCAAGUUCAUCACCGAAGCUGCGGAUUCCAGAAGCUUGGGCUUCUGGAGUGGUAAGGGAGCGUUGAUUGGGCCUUGAAGCCGUACGGUAACGAGCGGUGGAGCGCAAUCAAGUGCUUAUGUCGGAAUGAGUAGCGAGAAAAGAAGUGAGAAUCUUCUUCGCCGAAAACCUAAGGUUUCCUGGGGAAGGUAAAUCCGCCCAGGGUUAGUCGGUCCCUAAGGCGAGGCCGAAAGGCGUAGCCGAUGGGCAACGGGUCAACAUUCCCGUACCACCAGCGAACGUUUGACCGAUGGAGUGACGGAGUUUCAAGGGUCGUCCGGGCGAUAGUCGUCCCGGUGCAAGCCCGAGGGGUGCUGUUGGAAAAUCCGCAGCAUUAAGCCCCAGAGGUGAUGUCGAGGCUUUAAGCCGAAGCGAUUGGAGAAGCUUCCAGGAAAAACUUCUAGGGAGUUCAAAGGUGACCGUACCAAAACUGACACAGGUUGGUGAGGAGAGAAUCCUAAGGCGCUCGAGAUAACCUCUGCUAAGGAACUCGACAAAAUGGCUCCGUAAGUUCGCGAUAAGGAGCGCCCUUGUUGGUGAUGACACUUGCUGUCUGAGCUUUCGAGGGUCACAGAAAAUCGGGAGCGGCGACUGUUUACCUGAAACACAGGACUCUGCUAAGCCCUAAAGGCGAUGUAUAGAGUCUGACGCUUGCCCAAUGCCGGAAGGUUAAGAGGAGGGGUUAGUCGAAAGACGAAGCUCCGAAUUGAAGCCCCGGUGAAUGGCGGCCGUAACUAUGACGGUCCUAAGGUAGCGAAGUUCCUUGUCGGGUAAGUUCCGACGCGCACGAAUAGCGUAACGACUGCUCCAUUGUCUCGGCAGAGGGCUCGGCGAAAUUGUAGUCGAGGUGAAGAUGCCUCGUACCCGCACCAAGACGGAAAGACCCCGUGAACCUUUACUGCAGCCUGGUAUUGGGCUCUGGUACAGCAUGUGUAGGAUAGGUGGGAGACUGUGAAGCGGGCACGCUAGUGUUCGUGGAGUCAAUGGUGAAAUACCACCCUUGCUGUAUUAGUGUUCUAACUCGGUACCGUGAAUCCGGACCGAGGACAGUUUCAGGUGGGCAGUUUGGCUGGGGCGGUCUCCUCCUAAAAGGUAACGGAGGAGUCCCAAGGCACCCUCAGACUGGUUGGCAAUCAGUCGCAGAGCGCAAGGGUACAAGGGUGCUUAACUGUGAGACUCAUAAGUCGAGCAGGUGUGAAAGCAGGGCCUAGUGAUCCGGCGGAUUCCGAGUGGAAGGGCCGUCGCUCAUCAGAUAAAAGGUACUCCGGGGAUAACAGGCUUAUCUCCCCCAAGAGUCCACAUCGACGGGGAGGUUUGGCACCUCGAUGUCGGCUCAUCACAUCCUGGGGCUGGAGAAGGUCCCAAGGGUUCGGCUGUUCGCCGAUUAAAGUGGUACGUGAGCUGGGUUCAGACCGUCGUGAGACAGGUCGGUCCCUAUCUGGUGUGGGUGUAGGACACUUGAGGAGCCCUCUCCCUAGUACGAGAGGAUUGGGAGGGACGAGCCUCUGGUGCACCAGUUGUCACGCUAGUGGCACAGCUGGGUAGCUAAGCUCGGAAAGGAUAAGCGCUGAAAGCAUCUAAGCGCGAAGCCUUCUUCAAGACUAGGUGUCCCCAUUAGGGUCCUGGGAGACUACCAGGUUGAUAGGCGGUAGCUGUAAGCACGGCGACGUGUUUAGGCGAGCCGUACUAAUCGCCCGAUCGGCUUGGUUCCUCCU
rnacentral:rRNA from 1 species